rnacentral:lncRNA from 10 species
CACCUGCAGUCUUCACCACCUCGCCGGCGGCCACGGGGGCUAAAAACGAUAAGAGAGACGGUGGGGGGUGCAUUUUGUGGGCAUCUGACUCUUCCAGGGCUGGGCGGAGCCAAGGACACUGGGCUUGGAGUCAUUCGGGCUGGAUGGGGCUGAACCCGCCCAUGUCUAUGGCCUGCUGAGUCCUGUCCUCUUGCAGAGCUCUUUUCGUCAUCUGCGCAAUGGCAGGAAUGAGACGGAAACCAGUGAAGCGUUCCUCGCAGGGCCUGGACUUAUCUUGGAUAACAUUUGCAGUGACCUUAUGAGGUAAGGAUGGCCACUUGGAACCCUUGAAGCUGUGAGUCCCCUUGACUUCCUCCCAGGCACUGCCCUCCCAGAAGUGAAGGUACCAGGAGGCAGAGGAAACAGUAGCACCACGGUGCCAUCCUGGAUCCAACGGAGCAGGUGACAGACAGCAGGGGUCACAGGCAGGCCAACUUGGACUGAGGAAAAAAAAGUCGCAGGAAAGCAGCUGGGCAUCCUGCCUUGCUUCGCCCUUGGACUUCUGCAGGGUCCGUUUGCCCUUUGUUUGACUCCCAGACCCCACUGAGCUGGGAACCAACCAGUGGGCUGGAAGCCCAGGAUGGGGUGGCCCACCUAGUAGGGACGACAUUUACUUGCACAAAAGAUGGUCUCCAGGAGCCCCUUCAGGACCGAAGCAGGGAAACACUGUCGCCCUGGAGAGCUGGGAGAGGGGGAGGCAGCAGCAGUCGCUGGCCAGAGAGGGGCGAAACAGAGCUCAGGGUCCCUGCAGCGGGUGGGGGAAGCUCAGGUCCAGGUGGGCUUUGUGUUCCUUGAGGUUCUCCGCCAAGGUUCUGCUUCAUCAGGCCUCUGCCGAGUUCUCUGGCCUCACCUGUCCACCGCUGCUCCGUGCAGCCACCUUUCCCCUGCUCCCCAAGGUGCGUCCAUUUCUGAGUUUCCCUCCUCUGGACCUGUGACCAUGCCAUCCCUCCUGCCUGGACUGCCUCCCAGUCUCUCAGUAGUACCACCUCCAGGUUCAGCUUGUGGUUCCGGCUGGUGGGUGUGCCACAGCCAGACGCUGUGCUCAGCGGGGAUACCCUAACCCUGGGUGAUCUGGGGUCACUCCCGUCAACCUGGGGGGCUCUGCAGGCAGGGAAGAGCCUCCUGGGUCUCUGCUCCAGCCCUGGCUUUACACAAAUGUGCCUGAGAAAACACGGUGUCCUGACACCUGGCCUCAUGCCACCUGGUGACGGCAUCUGAGCCAUCACCAGUGAUCAUUCACCCCUUUUCCCUUUUCCAGACAGCACGAAAAUCCAACACGCCCCUCACCGGAGGACUGGGAGGCUCCCGCGUUUUGGAUUCUGAAAAGCACUCCCUCGUUCACGUCUGCCUGGAUUCGCGCCCUCAAGCCCCCUGGCGCCCACUUUUCUUGCUCUCCAAACACUCGUUGAGGCCCGAGAGGGAGAUGCGAAGUUUGCCCACCACUGCGCGUCCCUCCUCCGCGAGGCGCCAAUGGGCCUGAGUCAGGGGCCUCCCCUUCAUCCGCUGGUCCCUCCCCUGUUCCCAGCUCCAGUUCCUCACCCGCUAUGGCUGGCCUGGCGCCUGUGGCCGUUCACCGUCUGCGAGGCAUCUGCGGGGACUGAAGUCGGGGAGGCAGCGGCGGGCUCUGGCAGAUACCAGGAGAUCCCGCCCCUCGGCCCGGGAGACCCCGCCCCUCGGCCACGCCCCUUUCCGCUCCCCACCCCGCCCUCUUGGGCCCCCCACCCGGCCCAGCCAGACAGAGACCUGCCUCCAGGUGGGUGGGAGGAGACCUUCAGUCCCUCGCCCCGGGCCUGUUGUCACUACCUCCCCCAAACACAUUGGUUAAAGUCACCCGAUUAGAAGGGGCCACCUGUGAGACUUGGAUCCAAAGCAAACUAGCGGAAGCUGAAGGGUCUUGGGGCUUCCCAGGCCUCUCGGAGGCCGGGAUGGUCGUGGAGGAGGGAGCGCUCAGUGCCUGGCCUACUGCCUGCCCUGAGCCGGCUCCCUACAGGACGCUUCUCCUGUACCUUCCACCUGCUGCGAGGAAGGGCUGGGGGCAGGCGUACCCAUUUUCCAGAGGAGAACUGAAGGCUCUCACCCCGGGUUAGGCCAGUGGCCGGAGGCAGAGCCGGGCCUUGAACCUGGCUUUCUGGAUCUUCAUCCAGGCCAUUCUAAAGGUUUCUAGGAUGCUUUCCCUGACCUCCACUUAAAUUGGCUCAGGAGUUCCCUGAUCUCCACAAAUGUCAGGAACUUGUCCACCCGCCUGCCCCCAGCACCCAGGUUACACCUGACAAAAUGAUCUGUGACAUGCCUGGCCUGGAGCCUGGCACACAGCAGGUGCUCAGUAAAUACAUAUUUGGCCGGGCGCGAUGACUCACGUCUGUAACCCCAUCACUUUGGGAGGCCGAGGUGGAUGGAUCACCUGAGGUCACGUGUUUGAGACCAUCCUGGCCAACAUGGCGGAACCCUGUCUCUACUAAAAAUACAAAAAUUAGCUGGUUGUGGUGGCGCGUGCCUGUAAUCCCAGCUGCUGGGGAGGCUGAGGCAGGAGAACCUGGGAGGCGGAGGUUGCAGUGAGCCAAGAUCAUGCCAUCACACUCCAGCCUGGGUGACAGAACAAGGCUCAGUCUCAAAAUGAAUACAUACAUACAUACCUAUUUGUAUUAGGAGGAGAAAACCAAGAACCAGAGAAGAGAAGAGAAGGGAAGGGACCUGUGGCCACAUAGCAAGGCCAUGGCACAGCCGAAGUCUCCUCUGCUUUCCUCAUGCAGCCCCGUCCAACCCAUCUCUUUCAUCUCUUUUCUUAAAACUUAAAAAUAUUUUCAGGGGGGUGUGGUGGCUCAUGCCUAUAAUCCCAGCAAUUUGGGAGGAUGAGAUGGGAGGAUUGCUUGAGCCCGGGAGUUUGAGGCUGCAGUGAGCCACUGUAGUCCAGCCGGGGUGACACAGCCAGACUCCAUCUUUUUCUCUGUAUAUUUUUUCACCUCUACCUGAUGUGACUGAGUAACUGCUGGGGUACAUCACCUCUUUCAGGUGAUGGAAAUGUUCUAAAGUUGAUUAUGCUGAUGGUUGGUUGCCCAGCUGUGAAUGCAGUAAAAACAUUGAGCCGUACACUUUAAAUGGACAAGUUAUGUGUGAAUUAUAUCUCAAUAAAGCUCUGUGCCCCACCCAAAUCUCCUGUCAAACUGUGAUUCAUAGCGUUGGAAGUGGGGCCGGGUGGAAGGUGACUAGAUCAUGGGGGCGGAUCCUUCAUAAAUGAU